GCGCAGUGCGGGGAUCCCCGCUUCAGUCGGCAGAGAGAGAGCUCGCGGGUGGUUCCGGUCCGGCUUCUCAGGCCGGACGGGUGCCUGCCCCUCAGGUGCGAGUUUGUGCGGUAAAGAACACAACCCGGAGAUGUGGACACGGCCGCCCCAGGAGGGUCCUUGUUUGGAGACUUACCUUCAAUCUGUUCAGUCUCCAUCCACCCCUCUCCGCCUCUGCAUGGGGAUAAAGGUGGAAAUCAACGAGAACUUGCCCGCCAGAAAAACAUGAAGAAAACCCAGGAAAUUAGCAAGGGAAAGAGGAAAGAGGAUAGCUUGACUGCCUCUCAGAGAAAGCAGAG
rnacentral:sRNA from 1 species